rnacentral:lncRNA from 1 species
CUCAGCAUCCAGCUCAUUCAUUUGUUUUACAAACACACAAAAUGAAUUGUUAAAGAUUUGAUCACAACCAUACAUCUCUAACUAACUCAUUACAUCAUACAACACUUGAGGAAUCUCUGUAAAACUAUUUUGCCAUAUGGAAUCUUUUGGCUUGGUACGUGUGGUCUUCAAUCCAUUACUCGUGUGAGCAUCUUCCUUUGUCAGCAAGUAUGCUCCUGCUGAUACUCCCACAUGGCUUGAUCCAAGUUCAGCUUCAUUCACUAUUUCAACA